UACGAAGGGGGCUAGCGUUGUUCGGAUUUACUGGGCGUAAAGCGCACGUAGGCGGAUCGUUAAGUCGGGGGUGAAAUCCUGGAGCUCAACUCCAGAACUGCCUUCGAUACUGGCGAUCUUGAGUCCGGAAGAGGUGAGUGGAACUCCUAGUGUAGAGGUGGAAUUCGUAGAUAUUAGGAAGAACACCAGUGGCGAAGGCGGCUCACUGGUCCGGUACUGACGCUGAGGCGCGAAAGCGUGGGGAGCAAACAGGG
rnacentral:rRNA from 1 species